GUUGCCAUGAACAAAUGUAAGUUAUUUUAAAAUCAAUUGCUGUUUCUUUAGAAUCUGUGAGCCAUCAGCGUGAACACAAAUGGCUGUGACAAUGUAUAUUCAUUAUUGUUAAUGUAUACUGUUUUAUUUGGUUUUUGUUUGUUUUCUUAAAACAACUGGCACUAACCUGUAAAGAAAAUUGUGAUAUUGUAGGCUCCAAUAAUGUUAUAAAAUCCUGUAAAAGUAUAGGGAUAUAUGGUUGCAAUAUCAUCUCAUUAAAAAGAAGAUAGGCUCCUCAAAUGGAGCAGACAGAAGUAAGAGGUUCUGUCCUGAAGAGCAUACAAUCUAAUUUGGAUGCUAUAGUUCAUUGUUUCACACUUUCUUGUAUUUUCUUAAGGAAAUGUGAUUCGUGAGUAAGCACAAGCAAAUAUAUCACCUUGAUUUCAAUGAAAAGUACAUUUUCCUUUUUUUGUGACUCCCCAUCUAUGAAACUAAAUAAAAACAUUAUUUGACAACAUCCAAUACAAGAUGUGAAUGAGAACAUGCAAUGUGUGAUAUUUUUUAUUUUUUUUACAGAGUAUAUGUCUUAUUGUUUGAAAAUAUAUAUUUUUUAAAUGCUGCGGUAUCUAAGAAAAACUGUUGUUAAAGAUAGGUGAUUCAGAUGUUUUCAAAUUAAUAAUUUAAAAUUAAUACUGCAACAGAUAAUGUAAUACAGUUUUUUUGUGCCAAUUAAACCAAUAAUUCUGGAUUGGUGAGAAUAAACUGGUUAAUUUAGGGUUAUAUUUAUAUUUAAGGUGAAAUAUUCUAAAAUAAAAAUAUACCUACUUUUUGUUAGAGUUAUUUAACAUAUUGAUUUAGUGCCAGCAUUUAAUAUGUACUUUUUAUUUGUAACACUGAAUAUUUAAAUGUUUUAAUUGUAAACGCAAAUGUUUUUAGUCUGCAAUGGAAUGACUACACACAGUCUAAACAGGAACAUUUUAGGGGUGUAUUUACUGAAUCGGUGAUGUGGUGAAUUGACAGCUUACUGUCUUGGAAGAUCAAAAACAACUCCAACGGGGGCGGGGACAAGCAUCCACAUGGUUCAGAUGCCAUUUACAAUCACUCCAGGCCCAAAAUCAUAAGCCUGACAAAUAUUGAUCGCAUCCAGCCCCAUCGAUCCCCAGAAGUGGCAUAUUCAACCGGGGAAACACCAGGGGAGUUCACCCAUGCCCUUCCUUUGUGGUUCGAAUAUCAAAUCAUCCUGCACGACUCAGCGGAGUUCCAGGCCGCGCAGCCUGUGGAUCUCAUCGGGACAUGCAUGGGCCUUUGCCGACUGGGCUCUUUACUCACCUCCUCCCGAAGUAGAAUCAAACCUCCCAACGAUGGGCUGCAUGAGGCAUAUAUAUUAAUAACAAAAUACAGUUAGAAUGAAAUUACAUAUGUAUAUAUAAUUUAUUUUAAUUAAAAAAAAGUUUUAUUUAUAUAUUUUAUUAUUUUAUUUAUUUAUUAUUGAAAUUAUUCAUAUAUAUAAAUUUAAUAUAUAUAUAUAUAUGUCUUAUGUAUAUAUAUGUAUAUAUAUAUAUAUAUAUAUAUAAUAUAAAUAUAGCUUAUAUAUAUUUAACUUCAUUCUAAGUGUAUUUUAAUACUAAUAUAUGUACUUAUAUUAGUAUUAAAAUACACUAUGUAUGACAUUACAUAUAUAUAAGAUGUAUAUAUAUGAUAUAUAUAAUAUAUAUAUAUAUAUAUAUAUAUAUUUGAUAUAUAUCUAUAUAUAUAAAUACAUUUAAUUUAUUUUACAUGUCUAAUAAUAUAUUUUUUUUACUUUCCCACCAGCAGGGGGACUGUUUGACAGUCCAGACAGUCUGUCUGCAGGCAGAUCUAGAGCCAGCUAUAGGGGGCCAUGUGAUCGCUCUUUUAGAGCGAUCACAUGGCCCCUGGGGGCCUGAUUUGCCGUGGGAGGGCUGCCUGGGCUUUCAGACAGUCCUCCUGAAGAGGAUCGCGGUGAAGGUAAGAACCGCGGACCCCCUGGGGGCUUAAGCCGUUACGGCGUUCUAUGCCGCCACAACGGCUUUAAAGCCUUUAAGCAUUUAAAUGUGGAUGGCAUAGAACGCCGUAACGGAAUUAAGGCGUUAAGAAAUAUGCAAUUUUGAUGUAUGAAAAAUAAAAUUAAAUGUAGAAAUGUGCCUCCAUUUUCGCUACCUGUCAAUCAUCCUUUGCUCUGUUCUUUGUACCUUUAGUAAUGUCUGAAAUUAAUUAUGAUGUAAUUUGCGAAAUCUUUAAUAUAACUUUAAAAACCCCCCAAAAAAGGCUGAUACACAUUCUAGUCAAUUUUUUUAUCUUUUAUUCACUGGCGUAAAUUCCAGAGAAGUGACAGUUACACUUUAACAGCUACUGGCCACUCUCCCUAAUAGUAAUGUGACAUAAAAGCAAAUCCUCCAAAAUGUAGUGCAUUCUAGAAUGGUCUAGUGACACUUACUUUAAGAUACAGUUUACUCCCUGAUGGUAAGUAAACAUUAAUCAGUGGUUUUGAGUGUUGUUCCUUCUUGUACUUGCUGUGCUCGGUAGGCCUUAACACAGCUGUUAGAAUCUUGGUCUGAUACAGUUCCACACCUCCAUCCAGGAAGCUGAGCGAAGGUGACAAGUCACUGCUGAGAGCCCCCCACUAAGAAACAGGACAGAUAGACAUCUUGUGCUUAUCAGAAACAAGUUCAAUAAUGCUAUAAAUACUGUUAAGAAAAUUCUUUAGACAAGAAGAUUAACACCUACCCAGUGUGGGGUAUGAAUUCACCAUUUGUUUGUGAUAUGGCGGAUAAGCAAGAAUGUGGUGGCUUUCCUUGGGGGGUGGGGUGGGGGGGGUGUUUGAAAGAAGAAAUAUAUUGGGUAAUGGAUGCUGUGAGCUCAGGCUCUUUCCUUCAUAUUAUAUAUAAAAUUGCUUUGCUUAGUCUCCACAAGGACCUCUAGUUUCGUUGCAAGUCAAUUCUCUGAACAGUCUCAAAGCAACAAAAUACUGCGGCUGCGUUAUAGCAUUGUUUAAAAUAAUGUGCAUGAUUGCAGAGUGGGAGGGCACAGUUGUGCCUAGUGCUGUAAUGGUGUAUGAACCUCUUGCAGUAGGUUAAACAGUGCGUAGUAUUACAUGGAUCAGGUUCAGGUUAGGAGUUUUCAUGGUAAUCCCUUUUACCUUCUAAAACUAUACACCCCCAAAAUCCGAACUCUGAGUCCACUGAGUAACUUUAAUGGCAAAAACCCCAUAAUCAGUCACCCAAUAAAAGCUACAGGCCUGCUUACAGCCUGCCAGUAAAUGUAUAUGUAUAUCACUCAUGGGUGGUUCACUGGCUUUGCAUCUUUUCCUAAGUUGUGUUUCAAAGCUGUUGUAUAGAGCAAACACAGACUCAAAGGAAUCCAUGUUUAAAAUGGAAUAAUGAGGCUAAAAUUUGGUUCUUUGUUGAGCUCAUUUGCAUAUGCCCACCCAGAAUCCUUUGCGGUAGUAACAUCACUGCAAAUGUGUGAUUUCUGUGGGAAAAGCAAGUCUUAUGGCUUUACUGGUGUGCAGAUUUUUGUUUAACAUAGUAUUAACUAUAUAUAUAUAUAUAUAUAUAUAUAUAUAUAUAUAAAAAUUUACUGGCAUGGCAGGCUGUAAGCAGGUCUGUAGCAUUUAUUGGGUGACUGAUUAUGAGCCAUUUUAUUUUAAUAGUUGGGUUAAAAGUAGACCAAUCAUUAAGUUUGCCCUUAUUUAAAACUGCCAACACUGUACAAGACUGAGGAGGCAAAGGACUGCGGAAUUUUUUCCAGAACAGUUGUUUUAUCCCCAGUCUAUUUCCGGUUGGUAUGCUGGGAGCACAGUUAUUAAUUGAGUAUGUAUGUCAAUGAGUAUGUGGAGGAGUAGUUUGUAUUAAGCAUAUUGUAUUUCUAUUACUUGUUAAAACGCAGCUCGCGAAUCCACAAUACUAAUGGCCGAAUGUAAAUGAACAGAUCAGCAGUGCGUUGAUAAUUCAAGUUGACAUUUUUGCAGCAUACAAAGUGUUACAUUUCUGCGGAGUUACAGCACUCCACUUCCAGCAACUGAAGAAGGAAUGGACAGUUUAAUAUCAUCAUCACGUCUGAAACAUUGCUGGCAGGAGUGAUAAAAUGUAUCGAAUAUUCAAGUCCUCCCCUACACUAAAUUCUCCUAGGAACAAGUAAGAAAUUAUACGAGAGUCAUGAAAUCGCAGCCAUAUCUAGUGCUAAUGAGAACAUUACUUGGAGCUAAGCUGUUAUCCUUGCUACAACAUUCUAAGAACUGUGCAUUGCAUCAUUAUACUGAUAACACGAUUUGUAUUAAAAAAAGAAUAUAAUUUGGACUGCACAUUGCUGUAAUAGUAAACACGGGAUACGUCUGUUUAUUUUAACUAGAGACGGAUGCACUGUGUAGAGCUAUCAAAGAAUAUUUAUACUUAUUUAAAACUCGAUUUUUUUUCCAGGGACAUUUGAUAGGUGUCUUUAGAUUGAACAGUAAAGUCAGCAGUCAUUAUUUUUGCUGCAGGGACAGUUUAUUUAAUCAACACUUGUUCAGUGGGCUUAACAAACCUGCAUAGUUGUGCAGUAUUUUAGAUUAGUUGGAAAGAGGAUACCUUGGAAAAAUCUGCCAGAAUCCUUCAUGUUUCCCACAAUUUAUUGCGUGAUUCUCUCAUGUUCGUUGUUAACAGUUUGUGUAACGAGCCAGCAUACGGCCUCUUGUAUAUUAACUGGAUGGUUUCUGGGCCUUUAAGAAAAACACAUUCCGAUCCUGGCAUUCUUAUUAGUUAAUACAAACAUUAACCUAGGCCGGUAUCAAAUAUCUGCAAGUGUUUGUAGAGGAGAAAAAUAAGGGCAGCUAUUUGUUGGUGUUUGUAUUUGACCACACAAAGUGUAUAUCUGAUUUUAAUCGGCCAGCAUUAAAAACCAGCUCCAUGAAAAAAAUCUUUUGGGUGUGCUGGAGUGGAUUUUCUAUUUCCCAGGGGUCCUUUCAGUGCCUGGCGGGUGGUCAAAGGAGGUGGCAAGGAAGCUCUGAUCUUCCUGCUCAGCCCCCUCGCUUGCCUCUUAGUGAUGCCAGGGCCGGAGUGACAGUGCUCCCUCGCCGCCAGCUUCCAACAUGAGCAGAUGCCAGCCUUGGGGGGGGGGAAGGCCAUGGUGGCCAGUCUAGUUUGGGAGGAAAGAAAGAGAGGGUAAUUUGGAGGGUGAUUUUAGGAACCAAAUUAUCAGCAGUAGGUGAUAAUUGGCAGGCUCUGUAUUUAUCGCAAGUCUGACAAGGCAUCUGACAAGGCGUUUGGGGGAUGCUUUUUUGCCGCCCCCCCUGAAAGUGCUUCCCAAGGCAAAUGCCAUGUCAGCCUUGCUCUAAAUUAAAUACUGAUUCAUUUAUUUCCCCACUUAGCGCCUUAAGUACUCGUAGGUGAAUACCGUCAGGGCCCGGAGCAUUAUUUACAUUAAUUUUCUUUACCUUGUCUCGAGUCAUCCAAUCACAAGGUAUGUGCAAGUUUUUUGCUGCAAUCGUUUGCAUAUCUCUUGCCAUAGGAUCCUCAUUAAUAUAUACUGAAGAAAAAUAGUUACUUCAAAUUUUUGCCUUUUCCUGGUCUUCAUUAGCUAACAGACCCAUCUCUGUUUCCAGUGUACCUACACUUUCAUUUUUUGUUUUUUUUAGCAUUAAUGUACUUGAAAAAAAUUGGGGGGUUGGUUUUGCAUUCUCAUUUUCAAUUUCUCAUUUUCCAGUUUAGCCACUUUAAUUGCCUUUUUUGCAAGCGUUAUUGGCUUCCUUAUAUCUUAUAUAGGAUGCCUCUGAUUUGUCUGAUUUAAAUGCUUGCAACACCCUUUUCUUAUUUUUAAUCUCUUGUUUUACUUCUCUACUAAGCCACAUUGGUUUCAAUUUGUUUCUUUUAUAUUUAUUACCCAAUGGUACAUACUGAAUAGUUUCCAUUUAUCCACAGUGUUUUUUUCACUAAGGAGUUUAUGCCAGUUGAUAUAUUGUAGAGCUGCCCUAAUCUUAUUGAAAUUGUUUUUUUUUUUUAAUUAUACGUUUUACUUUACCCCACAUGCUUUUGCUUUUUUGAGUUUAUUUAAAAAAAUACCAUAUUGUGAUCACUAUUCCCCAAAUGCUCCCCCUACUUGAAUGUUGGUUAAAAGAUCAACAUUGUUUGUUAUAAUGAGAUCCAGACAAGCAUCCUUUCUAGUUGGUGCUUGUACCAGUUGUGACAUAAAGGUGUCAUUUAACACAUUCAAAAACCUGAUUCCCCUUGCUGAAGUACUAGUCAAUCUAUCCAAAUUUAUGUUCGGGUAAUUAAAAUCUCCAAUAAUUAACGUGUUACCCCGAUUUGCAGCUGUUCUUCCUCGUUAAUAUUUACACUAGGUGGUUUAUAACAUAUACCAACCAAUAACUGAUUUCCCUUCGUUUUCCCCGAACAGAUAUCUACCCAUAAAGCUUCCACAUUUUUCUCGUCACAGGCCACAUGCCUAAGAUUUGACUUUAACUCAUGGUUGACAUACAAACAUACCCCACCACCCUUCUUGUUUUUUCUAUCCUUCCUAAAUAACGUGUACCCAUUUAAGUUAACUGCCCAGUCAUGUGUCUCAUCCCACCAUGUUUCUGUUAUUUAUAUUAUAUCAUAUUGUUUAGUGUAUGCUAUUGCCUCUAGUUCCCCCAUUUUAUUAUAUAGGCUCAGUGCAUUAGUAAGCAUACAUUUAAUAUUAUCAUGAGUCAUUUGUACUUUUUGUGAAUUUUUAUCAAUAUUAUUAUUAUUAUAUAUUAAUCAUAUAUUAACUUAUAUAUGUUCUUAUUCUCCACUUCCUGCUGCCUCUGAACAACAAUAAAUUAAUAAUUUAAUUAGGGGGAUUUUCCGUCUCAAGCCCCCACAUGAAUUCCUGGGGGAAUGUGUCCUUCCCGAUUCUUACACCCCAUGGCCGCAGUGCUCCCCACCUGGAUCUGCCAGUGGCCAUAAGUUAUAACAGACUGAUUUAAAGAAUGUUUGCAGGUGAAAUCCAUAAUUUUAAAGUACACCCUUUUGUUCACUACAGGCAACAGUACAGGUUAUAUCCUUUGCAUGGCUCCCGUAUCAGAAUGUAAUUAUUAUAACUAUGAUAACCAUGAUAAAUUAUAACAACAUCAAAAUUUUAAACAAGAAAACACAUCAAGCGUUUGCUAGCUUUCUAUCAGGUCUUGUGGCAUUGGGGUGUUGAUGUUGUUACCCAAUUACCUCAAUUAGACUUGUUUUAUUGAGCUCAGAAAGUUCACCUAAACAGUAACAAAAUAUGUGAUUCUAAGAUAGCACCGCCACCUCUAACCACUACUAUGUCAGCAACUUUGUGUUUACCUGUGUUCAUUUAAAUGUUUCUGCCCAGACAAUCUGGUCACUUUAUAUUUUCCCUUCGUUUGCUAAGGUCAAAUCCACAAAACCGGACAUAAUACUCAAAAACAAUGAACACGAAUUGUGUGCACCAGCUUACACACAUCAUUAAAUGAUGACGCCAGCCUUCCUUAGUGCUGAAAGACACACCUUGGAGUUUCUAUUAGUUUUAGUCAUGAGCCACAUUGCUUCAUUUUCACAAACAUGAUGUUUGGAUCACGUGCAAAUGUUUCAUCUCUAUUGUGGAUCGUUUAACGAUAGCAAGCAGAGACAAUAGGCUGCAGAGCUAAAGUAAUCUGCAAAGCUUACAAAUUAGUUAUUCAUCCUUAGAUACUGAGGAUUUAUACCCCACUCACUAGAGGUGAUGAGAUAAGGUUACAGCCGUCUGCUGUAAAUUUAGGAAUAUGUGUCGUCUUUUGCUUCCCAUGUAUGGGCAGCACCUAAAAAUAAAACACAGCUAUCUUAGAAUAGAAUCAUUAUUAUCAUUUAUUUUAAACUGUAAGCUCGUUUGAGCAGGGUCCUCUGCAAUCUAUCGUUCCUGUAAGUUUUCUUGUAAUUGUCCUAUUUAUAAUUAAAUCCCCCCUCUCAUAAUAUUGUAAAGUGCUACGGAAUCUUUUGGUGCUAUAUAUACGGCAAUAAUAAUAAUAAUAAUAAUAAUAAUAAUAAUAAAAGUGCUUACAUAGUCUGUCAUGCUGUAUGAUGGGUAAAUAAAAACAAGCAAGAAUUUGCACCAUAUUGGUACAGGUAUUGGUACAACAAGUUUUGGCAAAUAUUUAUAAUUAUAUUACUGUUGUGCAUCACCCUUUUGAUCACAACCCAUCCCACAUGCUAUGGUUUAAAAAAAUGUGUUGAAAAGCUGUGUUUAAAACAGCAUCCAUUGCUAAGGGUACAUAUUCAGUAUUUUUUCUGGAACUGCUCCAAAACAUUCUAGAUUUAUACAAAUGGUUCUAACGGCUGCCAGAGAGAUUAUUCUGAUAAACUAACCUUAAUGCACUGCCAAUCCAAAUUGGCCUGAAUGUUUCGAGUGGAUUGGGUGGAGGCUCCCCAAUUUAAAGAAUGCAAGGUUUCUCAAUUUCUUGCGGGCCCUACAUCCAAUCUCUGGAUGCUCAACAAAAGGCUUUUAUUAACAAAACCUUUCCGCUGACCAAGUGAUAUUCUUUGCAAGCAUUUUUUGGGAGACCUCCACUUUAAAUUAUCUAAUUUAUCUAAAUCUUAAAAUUUCUAAAUAACCUAUGUGGAACUGUCUCUGCAACUUUUAAUUCAUAUUUUGAAUCCUAUCUACGUAUAGUUAUCAUACUGUUCAGUAUUGUAACCCAAACACCCGUCAUGUCAAUCUGUUUCAUUUAAAACAAUCAAUUUUUUUUUUUUUUUUUUAAAUAACAUUACCUCGACCAUGUGUACUUCUCCUCCAUGGCAUCACAGGAGAUGGAGAGGUGAGCAGUGCAGAGAGAGCUUCGGAGAUGCAAAAAGGAGAUGGUAAAACCUUUCUUCGAAACAACAAAAAUUUGUAUUGGGGACUACGACGACAGAUAUCCAGGCACAGGGUCAUUAAAGCAUUAGGAAUACAG